rnacentral:rRNA from 1 species
UACGAGGGGGGCGAGCGUUGUUCGGAAUUAUUGGGCGUAAAGGGUGCGUAGGCGGUUUGGUAAGUCUGAUGUGAAAUCUAUGGGCUCAACUCAUAGUCUGCAUCGGAAACUGCCGGGCUGGAGUGUGGGAGAGGUGAGUGGAAUUCCUGGUGUAGCGGUGAAAUGCGUAGAUAUCAGGAGGAACACCUGUGGCGAAAGCGGCUCACUGGACCAUAACUGACGCUGAUGCACGAAAGCUAGGGGAGCAAACAGG